AGUCUGCUGGUGUCAUGGUCUGAAUGUCGGACUAUGACUCUGGAGACCAGGGUUCGAAUCCCAGCUUGGCCA